rnacentral:rRNA from 1 species
AUGAACGCUAGCGGCAGGCCUAAUACAUGCAAGUCGAACGGUAACAGACGUAGCAAUACGUGCUGACGAGUGGCGCACGGGUGCGUAACGCGUAUGCAAUCUACCUUCAACUGGUGAAUAGCCCGAAGAAAUUCGGAUUAAUACACCAUAGUAUAUUAGAGUGGCAUCACUUUAAUAUUAAAACUCCGGUGGUUGAAGAUGAGCAUGCGUGACAUUAGCUAGUUGGUGAGGUAAUGGCUCACCAAGGCAACGAUGUCUAGGGGAUCUGAGAGGAUUAACCCCCACACUGGUACUGAGACACGGACCAGACUCCUACGGGAGGCAGCAGUAAGGAAUAUUGGACAAUGGUCGCAAGACUGAUCCAGCCAUGCCGCGUGCAGGAUGACAGCCCUAUGGGUCGUAAACUGCUUUUGUGCGAGAAAAAACCCCUCUACGUGUAGAGGGCUGAUUGUAUCGUAAGAAUAAGGAUCGGCUAACUCCGU